AGAGAGAGACAUGCGCGCAUAUCAAUAAGCGGAGGAAAAGAAACUAACUAAGGAUUCCCUCAGUAACGGCGAGUGAAGCGGGAAGAGCUCAAAUUUGAAAUCUUCAAGGUUCUACCUUGACGAAUUGUAGUUUAAAGAAGUGUUUUCUGUUGAAGUUUUGGUAAAAGUUCUUUGGAAUAGGACAUCAUAGAGGGUGAGAAUCCCGUAUUUGACCAUUACUUUCCAACUUUGUGAUACACUUUCAAAGAGUCGGAUUGUUUGGGAAUGCAGUCCAAAAUGGGUGGUAAAUUUCAUCUAAAGCUAAAUAUUGGCGAGAGACCGAUAGCGAACAAGUACCGUGAGGGAAAGAUGAAAAGAACUUUGAAAAGAGAGUUAAACAGUACGUGAAAUUGUCAAAAGGGAAGCGUUUGACACCAGUGUUGUUUUCUCGAAAAUCAAUUAAAAAAGGCAGGAUUUUGUGUUGUAUUGACUUUAUCAGCUUUCUGCACUCUUUUCUUGUCUUUUUUAAUGCACUUUUCGUUUAACAAGUCAACAUCAAUUUCUUUUGUUGUAAAAGGGUCAUUGGAAGGUGGCUUUCUUUUCGGAGAAAGUGUUUAUAGCCUUUGGCCUCUGCAUCGGAGAGAUUGAGGUCUGCAGCGUAGAUCCUUCGGGGUUAGAUACAUUUGUGCUAAGUUAUAGCCUUUCAUAGACAACUUGUUGACUAUGAUCAGUCAUGUAGCUUACUCGCUUAUGCUAUUUUACCUACGCUUAGGAUGUUGAUGUGAUACUGCGAGCA
rnacentral:rRNA from 1 species